rnacentral:rRNA from 1 species
UACAGAGGUCUCAAGCGUUGUUCGGAUUCAUUGGGCGUAAAGGGUGCGUAGGCGGCGCGGUAAGUCGGGUGUGAAAUCUCGGAGCUUAACUCCGAAACUGCAUUCGAUACUGCCGUGACUUGAGGACUGGAGGAGGAGACUGGAAUUUACGGUGUAGCGGUGAAAUGCGUAGAUAUCGUAAGGAAGACCAGUGGCGAAGGCGGGUCUCUGGACAGUUCCUGACGCUGAGGCACGAAGGUC